rnacentral:rRNA from 1 species
UACAGAGGGUGCGAGCGUUAAUCGGAAUUACUGGGCGUAAAGCGCACGUAGUCGGCUUUGCAAGUCGGUUGUGAAAUCCCCGGGCUCAACCUGGGAACUGCAUCCGAGACUGCAUUGCUAGAGUAUGGGAGAGGAAAGCGGAAUUUCUGGUGUAGCAGUGAAAUGCGUAGAUAUCGAGAGGAACACCGGUGGCGAAGGCGGCCUUCUGGACAGUGACUGACGCUGAGACGCGAAAGCGUGGGGAGCAAACAGG